UAAUAAAACAUUCCGACAAAAAAUCACUCCAUUUGGAGGAAUAGCGUAUCGGGGCCUAGGAGAAUAAUGCCGAAUUGGCUUCGUAGAAAAUAAAAUUUGUGAACUUUUUCCAUGAAUUAGAAUUUGCAAUGCACAGUGAAGUUCCUUCUAACAACUAGGCAAGGAUGUAGCAGAUGCGUAUGUGCCGCGCCCAUCAAUUCUAUACAAGAAAACCUUGUUGCUAGAGAUUCUGAAUCUUGUCCUCUAGGAAUAGGAUCUGCAUCAUCUUUUUACAAGCAUGGUUUCAAGUUUCAGCCAAAAACUGUAAAAGCAGAACUAAAAUUUUAAAGGUUUAUCCGUCGAUUUCGAUGUAAUUAAAAUUUUGGUUUUGCUGUUCUAAGAAAU
rnacentral:lncRNA from 1 species